UACGUAGGGGGCAAGCGUUGUCCGGAAUCAUUGGGCGUAAAGAGCGUGUAGGCGGUCCGGUAAGUCGGCUGUGAAAGUCCAGGGCUCAACCCUGGGAUGCCGGUCGAUACUGCCGGACUAGAGUUCGGAAGAGGAGAGUGGAAUUCCUGGUGUAGCGGUGAAAUGCGUAGAUAUCGGGAGGAACACCUGUGGCGAAGGCGGCCCCCUGGUUGGAUACUGACGCUGAGACGCGAAAGCGUGGGGAGCGAACAGG
rnacentral:rRNA from 1 species